rnacentral:ncRNA from 16 species
UUAGCUACUUUAGAUAGGUUUGUAUUCAUCAUGAUGGAUACAAACGUUAAACGACAGUUUGUAUCUAUGAUGGCUAAAGAACUUUGUAUUGCAGCAAAAAGCCACGUAGACAAAAUGCUAAGUGGCUGAGCAGUGAAAAUACAAAGUAAAAGUAUCAAGCAUUCUACUUUUUCAAUUUAUUUUCCGACUUUUCAA